GACGAACGCUGGCGGCGUGCUUAACACAUGCAAGUCGAACGGAAAGGCCCUGCUUGUGGGGUACUCGAGUGGCGAACGGGUGAGUAACACGCGGGUGGUCUGCCCUGCUCUUCGGGAUAAGCCUGGGAAACUGGGCCGAGUACCGGAUAUGACCUUCCAUGAAGCGUGGGGGGUGGUAAGAUUUAGCGGUGUGGGAUGAGCGCGCGGCCUAUCAGCUUGUUGGUGGGGUAAUGGCAUACGAAGGCGUCGACGGGUAGCCGGCCUGAGAGGGUGGACGGCCACAUUGGGACUGAGAUACGCACCAGUCUCCAACGGGAGGCAGCAGUCGGGAAUAUUGCACAAUGGGCGGAAGCCUUAUGCAGCGACGCCGCGUGCGGGAUGACGGCCUUCGGGUUGUAAACCUCUUUCGACGGAGACGAAGCUUCCUUGACGGUACCUGUAUAAGAAGCACCGGCUAACUACGUG
rnacentral:rRNA from 1 species